GUGCUGUCUUCAGCAGCACAUAUAUACUAAAUUAGGCACAAUACAGAGGUUAGCAUGGCCCCUACACAAGGAUGACAGGCAAAUUCAUAAAGCAGUCCACAUUUUU
ensembl:snRNA U6 U6 spliceosomal RNA